GAUGAAGAACGUAGCGAAAUGCGAUAAGUAAUGUGAAUUGCAGAAUUCAGUGAAUCUUCGAAUCUUUGAACGCACAUUGCGCCCGCCAGUAUUCUGGCGGGCAUGCCUGUUCGAGCGUCAUUACAACCCUCAGGCCCCCGGGCCUGGCGUUGGGGAUCGGCGGAAGCCCCCUGCGGGCACAACGCCGUCCCCCAAAUACAGUGGCGGUCCCGCCGCAGCUUCCAUUGCGUAGUAGCUAACACCUCGCAACUGGAGAGCGGCGCGGCCACGCCGUAAAACACCCAACUUCUGAAUGUUGACCUCGAAUCAGGUAGGAAUACCCGCUGAACUUAAGCAUAUCAAUAAGCGGAGGA
rnacentral:misc_RNA from 1 species